rnacentral:rRNA from 1 species
GAUGAACGCUAGCUACAGGCUUAACACAUGCAAGUCGAGGGGAAACGACAUCGAAAGCUUGCUUUUGGUGGGCGUCGACCGGCGCACGGGUGAGUAACGCGUAUCCAACCUGCCCACCACUUGGGGAUAACCUUGCGAAAGUAAGACUAAUACCCAAUGAUAUCCCACGAAGGCAUCCGAAUGGGAUUAAAGAUUUAUCGGUGAUGGAUGGGGAUGCGUCUGAUUAGCUUGUUGGCGGGGUAACGGCCCACCAAGGCUACGAUCAGUAGGGGUUCUGAGAGGAAGGUCCCCCACAUUGGAACUGAGACACGGUCCAAACUCCUACGGGAGGCAGCAGUGAGGAAUAUUGGUCAAUGGGCGAGAGCCUGAACCAGCCAAGUAGCGUGCAGGAUGACGGCCCUAUGGGUUGUAAACUGCUUUUAUAAGGGAAUAAAGUGGGUCUCGUGAGACUUUUUGCAUGUACCUUAUGAAUAAGGACCGGCUAAUUCCGUG